rnacentral:tRNA from 1 species
AAAAAUUUAGUUAAAUUCAUAACAUUAGCUUGUCAAGCUAAAAUUAUUAUAAAAUAAUUUUUA